GUAGGGAAUCUUCCGCAAUGGGCGAAAGCCUGACGGGGCAACGCCGCGUGAGUGAUGAAGGUCUUCGGAUCGUAAAACUCUGUUAUUAGGGAAGAACAUAUGUGUAAGUAACUGUGCACAUCCUGACGGUACCUAAUCAGAAAGCCACGGCUAACUACGUGCCAGCAGCCGCGGUAAUACGUAGGUGGCAAGCGUUAUCCGGAAUUAUUGGGCGUAAAGCGCGCGUAGGCGGUUUUUUAAGUCUGAUGUGAAAGCCCACGGCUCAACCGUGGAGGGUCAUUGGAAACUGGAAAACUUGAGUGCAGAAGAGGAAAGUGGAAUUCCAUGUGUAGCGGUGAAAUGCGCAGAGAUAUGGAGGAACACCAGUGGCGAAGGCGACUUUCUGGUCUGUAACUGACGCUGAUGUGCGAAAGCGUGGGGAUCAAACAGGAUUAGAUACCCUGGUAGUCCACGCCGUAAACGAUGAGUGCUAAGUGUUAGGGGGUUUCCGCCCCCUAGUGCUGCAGCUAACGCAUUAAGCACUCCGCCUGGGGAGUACGACCACAAGGUUG
rnacentral:rRNA from 1 species